rnacentral:rRNA from 1 species
UACGUAGGUGGCGAGCGUUGUCCGGAUUUACUGGGCGUAAAGCGCGCGUAGGUGGCCGGAAAAGUCCCCCGUGAAAGGUUGCGGCCCAACCGCAACACGGCGGGAGAUACUCUCCGGCUUGAGGGCAGCAGAGGUCGGUGGAAUUCCCGGUGGAGUGGUGAAAUGCGUAGGUAUCGGGAGGAACACCAGAGGCGAAGGCGGCCGGCCGGGCUGUCCCUGACACUGAGGUGCGAAAGCGUGGGGAGCGAACCGG